UACAAGUCUGUGAGUAUGAGUGAAUAUAAUUGUUAGAUUUGUGGUAUAAGGGUGGGCAUUGUAAGUUCUGCUUCAACCCACUCCCUUUCAGACACAUGGGAUUUGUUUUUGGUUAAUAUUAUUGUUAUUUUUUAAAAAAAAAUUAUAACCAUGUGU